rnacentral:snoRNA from 1 species
GUGGCUUCUGAUGUUUUUUUAAGUUGUUUGCUUGGACUUAUCUAGUCUAUGAGCCAACUAUUCUUUGUGAAGCCUAAAGAAUUGUUCCCUUCGCUAUCCAGUGCCACAGUAUCAUGUUUCAAUUGGACGUUGGGGAACUAUAUUG